CCUACGGGUGGCUGCAGUGAGGAAUAUUUGUCAAUGGGCGCGAGCCUGAACCAGCCAAGUAGCGUGAAGGAUGACUGCCCUACGGGUUGUAAACUUCUUUUAUAAAGGAAUAAAGUGAGGCACGUGUGCCUUUUUGUAUGUACUUUAUGAAUAAGGAUCGGCUAACUCCGUGCCAGCAGCCGCGGUAAUACGGAGGAUCCGAGCGUUAUCCUGAUUUAUUGGGUUUAAAGGGAGCGUAGAUGGGUUUUUAAGUCAGUUGUGAAAGUUUGCGGCUCAACCAUAAAAUUGCAAUUGAUACUGGGAGGCUUGAGUACGGUUGAGGUAGGCGGAAUUCGUGGUGUAGCGGUGAAAUGCUUAGAUAUCACGAAGAACUCCGAUUGCGAAGGCAGCUUACUAAGCUACGACGGACGUUGAUGCUCGAAAGUGUGGGUAUCAAACAGGAUUAGAUACCCGUGUAGUC
rnacentral:rRNA from 1 species